UUUGCUAAUAAAAUAAUUUGAAAAUUAUUUCGAACCCAAAAUCGCAAACGAAAAUACCGGUUUUCGGUUGGCGGCUCCAUUUUGAGUUUGAACCCGAGUCUUCAUUCUUCGCUCCCUUUCCUUGCCGGUCCGGUUCCGGCGAACAGCCAAGGAAAUGACCCGCCGACUCCUCGGAAACUAAGCGAUAACCCUCAAGGUUAGGAUUGGAUUCGUCAUACGGAGGUCUCGUCUCAGAUUUUCAAAGGAGGAGCUAAAUGUAAGAGGCCUAUAGCUUGGUGCUUCGUCAGAAUGACAUAUGGACAUGCUUCUUACCCAGAAGAAGAAAAA